rnacentral:lncRNA from 1 species
ACAUCAGUGACUCUGUAAUUAAAAAUUUAGACCUCUUGCACGUUUGUAGCACACAUUAACGAUAAGGAAUAGAGACUGAGGAAGUAAUCAGAGGCAUGAAAGCAUAUAGAAAUAAUUAUCCCUUACAUUCCAGCUUGUUAGAAAGAACCAAUGAAUGUUAUUAGCUGCUUGCAAUUAUAAUAUAAUAGGAUUAUGAUCUUACAAUGUCAUUAAACAGUUUAUGUA